GCUGGCGGCGUGCCUAAUACAUGCAAGUCGAACGAACUCUGGUAUUGAUUGGUGCUUGCAUCAUGAUUUACAUUUGAGUGAGUGGCGAACUGGUGAGUAACACGUGGGAAACCUGCCCAGAAGCGGGGGAUAACACCUGGAAACAGAUGCUAAUACCGCAUAACAACUUGGACCGCAUGGUCCGAGUUUGAAAGAUGGCUUCGGCUAUCACUUUUGGAUGGUCCCGCGGCGUAUUAGCUAGAUGGUGGGGUAACGGCUCACCAUGGCAAUGAUACGUAGCCGACCUGAGAGGGUAAUCGGCCACAUUGGGACUGAGACACGGCCCAAACUCCUACGGGAGGCAGCAGUAGGGAAUCUUCCACAAUGGACGAAAGUCUGAUGGAGCAACGCCGCGUGAGUGAAGAAGGGUUUCGGCUCGUAAAACUCUGUUGUUAAAGAAGAACAUAUCUGAGAGUAACUGUUCAGGUAUUGACGGUAUUUAACCAGAAAGCCACGGCUAACUACGUGCCAGCAGCCGCGGUAAUACGUAGGUGGCAAGCGUUGUCCGGAUUUAUUGGGCGUAAAGCGAGCGCAGGCGGUUUUUUAAGUCUGAUGUGAAAGCCUUCGGCUCAACCGAAGAAGUGCAUCGGAAACUGGGAAACUUGAGUGCAGAAGAGGACAGUGGAACUCCAUGUGUAGCGGUGAAAUGCGUAGAUAUAUGGAAGAACACCAGUGGCGAAGGCGGCUGUCUGGUCUGUAACUGACGCUGAGGCUCGAAAGUAUGGGUAGCAAACAGGAUUAGAUACCCUGGUAGUCCAUACCGUAAACGAUGAAUGCUAAGUGUUGGAGGGUUUCCGCCCUUCAGUGCUGCAGCUAACGCAUUAAGCAUUCCGCCUGGGGAGUACGGCCGCAAGGCUGAAACUCAAAGGAAUUGACGGGGGCCCGCACAAGCGGUGGAGCAUGUGGUUUAAUUCGAAGCUACGCGAAGAACCUUACCAGGUCUUGACAUACUAUGCAAAUCUAAGAGAUUAGACGUUCCCUUCGGGGACAUGGAUACAGGUGGUGCAUGGUUGUCGUCAGCUCGUGUCGUGAGAUGUUGGGUUAAGUCCCGCAACGAGCGCAACCCUUAUUAUCAGUUGCCAGCAUUAAGUUGGGCACUCUGGUGAGACUGCCGGUGACAAACCGGAGGAAGGUGGGGAUGACGUCAAAUCAUCAUGCCCCUUAUGACCUGGGCUACACACGUGCUACAAUGGAUGGUACAACGAGUUGCGAACUCGCGAGAGUAAGCUAAUCUCUUAAAGCCAUUCUCAGUUCGGAUUGUAGGCUGCAACUCGCCUACAUGAAGUCGGAAUCGCUAGUAAUCGCGGAUCAGCAUGCCGCGGUGAAUACGUUCCCGGGCCUUGUACACACCGCCCGUCACACCAUGAGAGUUUGUAACACCCAAAGUCGGUGGGGUAACCUUUUAGGAACCAGCCGCCUAAGGUGGACAGAU
rnacentral:rRNA from 2 species